GAUGAACGCUGGCGGCGUGCCUAAUACAUGCAAGUCGAGCGAACAGACGAGGAGCUUGCUCCUCUGACGUUAGCGGCGGACGGGUGAGUAACACGUGGAUAACCUACCUAUAAGACUGGGAUAACUUCGGGAAACCGGAGCUAAUACCGGAUAAUAUAUUGAACCGCAUGGUUCAAUAGUGAAAGACGGUUUUGCUGUAACUUAUAGAUGGAUCCGGGCCGGAUUAGCUGGUUGGUAAGGUAACGGCUUAUCAAGGCAACGAUGCGUAGCCGACCUGAGAGGGUGGUCGGCCACACGGGAACUGAGACACGGUCCAUGCGCCUACGGGAGGCAGCAGUAGGGAAUCUUCCGCAAUGGUGGAAAGCCUGACGGAGCAACGCCGCGUGAGUGAUGAAGGUCUUCGGAUCGUAAAACUCUGUUAUUAGGGAAGAACAAAUGUGUAAUUAACUAUGCACGUCUUGACGGUACCUAAUCAGAAAGCCACGGCUAACUACGUG
rnacentral:rRNA from 1 species